rnacentral:piRNA from 1 species
UAAAGGAUGUUUGAUGAAGCACUAUGG